rnacentral:rRNA from 1 species
GAACCAGACUCCUACGGGAGGCAGCAGUGGGGAAUAUUGCACAAUGGGGGAAACCCUGAUGCAGCGACGCCGCGUGAGCGAUGAAGUAUUUCGGUAUGUAAAGCUCUAUCAGCAGGGAAGAAGAUGACGGUACCUGACUAAGAAGCCCCGGCUAACUACGUGCCAGCAGCCGCGGUAAUACGUAGGGGGCAAGCGUUAUCCGGAUUUACUGGGUGUAAAGGGGGCGCAGACGGCGAUGCAAGCCAGGAGUGAAAGCCCGGGGCCCAACCCCGGGACUGCUCUUGGAACUGCGUGGCUAGAGUGCAGGAGGGGCAGGCGGAAUUCCUGGUGUAGCGGUGAAAUGCGUAGAUAUUAGGAGGAACACCAGUGGCGAAGGCGGCCUGCUGGGCUUUAACUGACGCUGAGGCUCGAAAGCGUGGGGAGCAAACAGGAUUAGAUACCCGUGUA